rnacentral:rRNA from 1 species
AAUGAACGCUGGCGGCAUGGCUAAGACAUGCAAGUCGAACGGACUAUUUUGAAGAGUAAUCGGAUUGAUAGUUAGUGGCGAAAGGGUGAGGAACAGGUAGGUAACGUACCUUUGGCUCUGGGAUAGCUCAUCGAAAGGUGGGGUAAUACCGGAUGAUGUCAUCUGUUUAAUUCAGAUGACCAAAGAUUUAUCGGCCAUUGAGCGGCCUAUCUCCUAUCAGCUUGUUGGUGAGGUAACGGCUCACCAAGGCGACGACGGGUAGCGGGACUGAGAGGUUGACCCGCCACAUCGGAACUGAGACACUGUCCGGACCUCCACGGAGGGCUGCAGUAACGAAUAUUGGGCAAUGGGCGAAAGCCUGACCCAGCAAUGCCGCGUGUAGGAUGAAGCUUUUCGGAGUGUAAACUACUUUCAGGGAUUAGAAAGCUACGGUUGAUCAAUCCCAGAAGAAGUCACGGCUAACUUCGUG